CAUGUUUUAUUUAUCUCUAUUCCAUUCACAUUUUUAACACUUUUUUAAAGGGGUGGGGGGGGGGGGGUUGAAUCAACCUCCCUUGAGAUCUCUGCCAAUGAUCACAUUAACGCCUUGAAAAUUGGAAAACACUAGCUUGGCCUGGCACAUGCACAUUUAGGGAGCAUGAAUGAAACAAAUUAAAAGGGCAAUUAAUGCAUUUUCUUGGAAAAAAUAUAAUUUCAAUUGACCCCACAGGAUAACCUGAUGGCCUAGUUUGGGAAACCAGGUAGCCUAACAAGUAGAGCUCGACUCAGGCAACCAGAAAAAUACCAGCUAAUAAUUAACAAUAAUAAUUAUUCAUUUGGGCCAUUAUUGUAUUAUUAUACAAGAAUGAUGUG